CAGCGAUCGGCGUAGCCCGGGGGCGCACACUCGGGGAGCGUCCCGCUGUCCCGCAUUCGCAUAACGCAGCUGACCCGCGCGAGUGAGGGACUCUGAUGCGUCCCAAGCCUGGUCGCGUCUCCGAUGACUGAGCCCCGGCCCUCGCCGCUGUCCGCGCUCUGCCACCAACUUUUCUCCUGCCGCCGCCUCCUGGUCCUACCCUCAUUUCCUUCCCAGUUUUAGGGUUCCGGGACUAUCCCCGGUCCUCCGGGGGCGCGCAGUACCCACACCCUCCCUCGCGGAUGCUGAGCUGGAGGAGAGCUGGGCGCAGGGGUAGAAGGGCGCAGGCGGAGACGCAGGGCGCCUCCAGCGCUGGAGAAGUGGCGCCGCGGGAGGCAGGCAGACCAGUGCCUUCCUGAUGCGAAGAACUGACUUGUUGGAAAAGACCCUGCUGCUGGGAAAGGUUAAAGGCAGGAGGAGAAGGGGACGACAGAGGAUGAGAUGGUUGGAUGGUGUCACCGACACGAUGGACAAGAGUUUGAGCAAAUUCCAGGAGCUGGUAAAGGACAGAGAAGACAGGCAUGCUAUAGUCCAUGGGGUCUCAAAGAGCCAGAUACAACUGAACGACUGAACUGAAUGGAUGCAGUGGCUUCUGGCUCCAAGCGCAGAAAUUCUUGGUCUUGAAGCUACUAUAUAUAUUUUUUAUAAAAAUAUGUAUUUGUUUAACUGUGCUGAGUCUUAGUUGCUGCGCAGGAGCUUUCUCUAGUCAUGGUGAGCAGGGGCUAUUUUUAGUUGCAAUGCAGAGGCUUCUCCUUGUGGUGGCUUCUCUUGUUGUGGAGCAUGGGCUGUAGGCAUACGGGCUUCAGUAGCUGUGGAGCACAGAUUUAGUUGCCCUGAGGUAUGUGGGAUCUUCCUGGACCAGAGAUCAAACCUCUGUCUCCUUCAUUGGAAGGCAGAUUCUUUUCCACUGUGCCACCAGGGAAGUCCUGUUAAUGACUUUUGGCACAGAACAACAAUAAGAUGCUUGUGUGAGCAAACAAUAUUCAGACGGAACUGGUGGUGGACCAACUUUCUUUCCUUAAUUAGCUUGAUUCAGAUCUGUCGCCAGGAUGUAGGGUUCUAAUAAGCUUUUAAUGACUGGUCCCCAGAUAUCUGGGGGCAAGUCACUCUGCCCACGGCCAUCCUUUCCUGGAAGACAAAUCAAUUAAGCCCCAGGGCUCCCUGACCUUGUCUUGUCUUCUGCCUUGUCUUGACAACAUGUUUUUCAUUAGCACACGUGGAAAGGCUUCACCCCAAUUUGUUUCUCCAGAUGUUUUGGUCAUCAUAUGUCAAAUAAGAUACAUUCUGCCUUCAAACAACCCAACAGCUUAAUGCUAGAGGCUGUGAAGCUGUUUUUGGAUAUUGAUGACUCCUUCUAGGGGAACUUCGUUGCUGAGUUUCCCAGAUCCGUGAUCCUUAGUGAUUCCAGCAUUUGCCACGGGUAGCUCUUUGGCAUCUGCAGCAUGUUGUUUUAGCAUCACCUGGUGGUACUUGCUCACAACAAUUAUUCCUGUCUAGUACAGAUUUUCCAUUU
ensembl:lncRNA